GACGAACGCUGGCGGCGUGCUUAACACAUGCCAGUCGAACGGAAAGGCCCUGCUUUUGUGGGGUGCUCGAGUGGCGAACGGGUGAGUAACACGUGAGUAACCUGCCCUUGACUUUGGGAUAACUUCAGGAAACUGGGGCUAAUACCGGAUAGGAGCUCCUGCUGCAUGGUGGGGGUUGGAAAGUUUCGGCGGUUGGGGAUGGACUCGCGGCUUAUCAGCUUGUUGGUGGGGUAGUGGCUUACCAAGGCUUUGACGGGUAGCCGGCCUGAGAGGGUGACCGGCCACAUUGGGACUGAGAUACGGCCCAGACUCCUACGGGAGGCAGCAGUGGGGAAUAUUGCACAAUGGGCGGAAGCCUGAUGCAGCAACACCGCGUGCGGGAUGACGGCCUUCGGGUUGUAAACCGCUUUCGCCUGUGACGAAGCGUGAGUGACGGUAAUGGGUAAAGAAGCACCGGCUAACUACGUG
rnacentral:rRNA from 1 species